GGAGCCGGCCAGACAGUCGCGUCAUCCAUACGGAUGCCGAGGAAAGUCCGGGCUCCACAGGGUGCGAUGCCAGGUAACGCCUGGGCGGCGCGAGCCGACGGAAAGUGCAACAGAAAGAUACCGCCCAAGACUGCUCCGGCAGGACGGCAAGGGUGAAAUGGUGCGGUAAGAGCGCACCGCGAGCCGGGCAACCGGCCGGCACGGCAAACCCCAUCGGGAGCAAGACCAAAUAGGGAGGCGAUGUCGUGACCCGCGACGCCUCCGGGUAGGUUGCUGGAGCCCUGCAGCGAUGCAGGGCCGAGAGGAAUGACUGUCCACGACAGAACCCGGCUUACCGGCCGGCUCCGCCA
rnacentral:RNase_P_RNA from 1 species